rnacentral:rRNA from 1 species
GAAAUGACUGCUAAUACCGCAUGAAUCCAUUAAGAUGGGAAUGUUGAUGGAGAAAACUCUGGUGCUUCGAGAGGGGCCUGCGGUCGAUUAGCUAGUUGGCGGGGUAACGGCCCACCAAGGCGACGAUCGAUAGCUGGUCUGAGAGGACGAUCAGCCACACGGGAACUGAGACACGGUCCCGACUCCUACGGGGGGCAGCAGUGAGGAAUAUUGGGCAAUGGGCGGAAGCCUGACCCAGCAACGCCGCGUGGAGGAAUGAAGGCCUUCGGGUUGUAAACUCCUUUUGCAGGGGAAGAGGAAGGACGGUACCCUGCGAAUAAGUCACGGCUAACUACGUG